AGAAGCACCGGCUAACUCCGUGCCAGCAGCCGCGGUAAUACGGAGGGUGCAAGCGUUAAUCGGAAUUACUGGGCGUAAAGCGCACGCAGGCGGUUUGUUAAGUCAGAUGUGAAAUCCCCGGGCUCAACCUGGGAACUGCAUCUGAUACUGGCAAGCUUGAGUCUCGUAGAGGGGGGUAGAAUUCCAGGUGUAGCGGUGAAAUGCGUAGAGAUCUGGAGGAAUACCGGU
rnacentral:rRNA from 1 species